GGGGAAUAUUGGACAAUGGGGGGAACCCUGAUCCAGCCAUGCCGCGUGUGUGAAGAAGGCCUUUUGGUUGUAAAGCACUUUAAGCGAGGAGGAGGCUCUCUUGGUUAAUACCUGAGAAGAGUGGACGUUACUCGCAGAAUAAGCACCGGCUAACUCUGUGCCAGCAGCCGCGGUAAUACAGAGGGUGCGAGCGUUAAUCGGAUUUACUGGGCGUAAAGCGCGCGUAGGUGGCUAAUUAAGUCAAAUGUGAAAUCCCCGAGCUUAACUUGGGAAUUGCAUUCGAUACUGGUUGGCUAGAGUAUGGGAGAGGAUGGUAGAAUUCCAGGUGUAGCGGUGAAAUGCGUAGAGAUCUGGAGGAAUACCGAUGGCGAAGGCAGCCAUCUGGCCUAAUACUGACACUGAGGUGCGAAAGCAUGGGGAGCAAAC
rnacentral:rRNA from 1 species